rnacentral:rRNA from 1 species
UACGAAGGGGGCUAGCGUUGCUCGGAAUCACUGGGCGUAAAGCGCACGUAGGCGGAUCGAUCAGUCAGGGGUGAAAUCCCAGGGCUCAACCCUGGAACUGCCUUUGAUACUGUCGAUCUGGAGUAUGGAAGAGGUGAGUGGAAUUCCGAGUGUAGAGGUGAAAUUCGUAGAUAUUCGGAGGAACACCAGUGGCGAAGGCGGCUCACUGGUCCAUUACUGACGCUGGGGUGCGAAAGCGUGGGGAGCAAACAGG